UGCCAGACUCCUACGGGAGGCAGCAGUGAGGAAUAUUGGUCAAUGGCCGAGAGGCUGAACCAGCCAAGUCGCGUGAGGGAAGACGGCCCUACGGGUUGUAAACCUCUUUUGUCGGGGAGCAAAGCGAGUCACGUGUGACUCAUUGAGAGUACCCGAAGAAAAAGCAUCGGCUAACUCCGUGCCAGCAGCCGCGGUAAUACGGAGGAUGCGAGCGUUAUCCGGAUUUAUUGGGUUUAAAGGGAGCGUAGGCCGGCUUUUAAGUCAGCUGUGAAAGUCCGCGGCUCAACCGUGGAAUUGCAGUUGAAACUGGAGGCCUUGAGUGCACACAGGGAUGCCGGAAUUCAUGGUGUAGCGGUGAAAUGCUUAGAUAUCAUGAAGAACUCCGAUCGCGAAGGCAAGUGUCCGGGGUGCAACUGACGCUGAGGCUCGAAAGUGCGGGUAUCAAACAGGAUUAGAUACCCCCGUAAG
rnacentral:rRNA from 1 species